rnacentral:rRNA from 1 species
GACGAACGCUGGCUGCGUGCUUAACACAUGCAAGUCGAACGCUGAAGCCCCAGCUUGCUGGGGUGGAUGAGUGGCGAACGGGUGAGUAACACGUGAGUAACCUGCCCCUGACUUCGGGAUAAGCCCGGGAAACUGGGUCUAAUACCGGAUACGACUAUCGGACGCAUGUCUGGUGGUGGAAAGUUUUUUCGGUUGGGGAUGGGCUCGCGGCCUAUCAGUUUGUUGGUGAGGUAAUGGCUCACCAAGACGACGACGGGUAGCCGGCCUGAGAGGGCGACCGGCCACACUGGGACUGGGACACGGCCCAGACUCCUACGGGAGGCAGCAGUGGGGAAUAUUGCACAAUGGGGGAAACCCUGAUGCAGCGACGCAGCGUGCGGGAUGACGGCCUUCGGGUUGUAAACCGCUUUCAGCAGGGAAGAAGCCUUCGGGUGACGGUACCUGCAGAAGAAGUACCGGCUAACUACGUG